rnacentral:rRNA from 1 species
AUUCCUACGGGAGGCAGCAGUAGGGAAUCUUCCGCAAUGGACGAAAGUCUGACGGAGCAACGCCGCGUGAACGAUGAAGGCCUUCGGGUCGUAAAGUUCUGUUGUUAGGGAAGAACAAGUACCAGAGUAACUGCUGGUACCUUGACGGUACCUAACCAGAAAGCCACGGCUAACUACGUGCCAGCAGCCGCGGUAAUACGUAGGUGGCAAGCGUUGUCCGGAAUUAUUGGGCGUAAAGCGCGCGCAGGCGGUUUCUUAAGUCUGAUGUGAAAGCCCACGGCUCAACCGUGGAGGGUCAUUGGAAACUGGGAAACUUGAGUGCAGAAGAGGAGAGUGGAAUUCCACGUGUAGCGGUGAAAUGCGUAGAGAUGUGGAGGAACACCAGUGGCGAAGGCGACUCUCUGGUCUGUAACUGACGCUGAGGCGCGAAAGCGUGGGGAGCGAACAGGAUUAGAUACCCUGGUAGUCCACGCCGUAAACGAUGAGUGCUAAGUGUUAGAGGGUUUCCGCCCUUUAGUGCUGCAGCAAACGCAUUAAGCACUCCGCCUGGGGAGUACGGUCGCAAGACUGAAACUCAAAGGAAUUGACGGAAU